rnacentral:rRNA from 1 species
GACGAACGCUGGCGGCGCGCUUAACACAUGCAAGUCGAGCGAUGAAAUCUUGACAGCUCCCUUCGGGGUGAAGAUAAGAUGGAUUAGCGGCGGACGGGUGAGUAACACGUGAGUAACCUGCCUUAGACAUAGGGAUAGCCUCGGGAAACCGGGAUUAAUACCAAAUGAAAUCAUAGGUGCCCAUGCACUAAUGAUCAAAACUCCGGUGGUCUAAGAUGGACUCGCGUCCCCUUAGCUAGUUGGUAAGGUAAUGGCCCACCAAGGCGUCGAUGGGUAGCCGGCCUGGGAGGGGGAACCGCCACUUUUGAGCUGGGAAACGGUCCAAACUCCUGCACGAGGCAGCAGUGGGUAAUCUUGCACAACGGAGGGAACUCUGAUGCAGCGACGACGCGUGAACGAUGAAGGCUUUCGAGUAGUAAAGUUCUUUUAUAUGGGAAGAUAAUGACGGUACCAUAAGAAAAAGCCCCGGCUAACUACGUG